CAUAAACUACCAAUAACUACAUUUUAAAUUGAACUAAAUCAGCUUUUCUAACACCAUUCUACUCAGGUCCGGUUCAGAAGGAUCCUGUGACGACGGGACAGUUUCUGGGGACAGAAGUCAUCUUCUGUCGUGAAGUCUUGGAGGCCCCCCAAAAAACUUCUCGGCUGCAGAUAUGAUGUCUGACCUCUUGGACACUUGUGGCUAUAAGCGCUACAAAAAAUCCACCCUCUUUACAAUAAGUGAAUGCAGAUCGCUUGAUUGACGUAUAACAUUUGCAACUGGUUGUGAUGCAUCUUCUUCUUUAACACUGUGGCCUCUGACCCCUUCAACUCCCCGAACCGCCUCCACAUAGUAGAAUUGCUUUACAGCCCUGAUCCUUGACCCUUCAACUUAUUUCACCCUAACAGGGCACUCGGGGAAUUCGGGAAUUCGAUCCUCGCCACAGUUGCAACAUUUUACAUUCACAGACUCUUCACUAAUAUAUUCCUUCGGUCUGAAAACUUUUUACACUUUUUCUGCAUCGGGUUUUGCACGAACGCUCUUAACAGCGUAUCUUUAUAUAUCCCAAACUUUACAUAGAAAAAAAUGUAAAUACUCAUCAGACAUCACUAAUACAGAUAAAGUUUGCUCUUUUUUUCCCCUCAUUCUCCGUUACGGGUCAAGAGACGUGCUUUAACUAGUCCUGGAAUGUUUUAUCCUAAGAUAUUGAUUACCAAUUUUCACCCGGGACGACAGAGAUAACCCUUUUCACCGGUGCACUGCUCCGAAAAUCAAAGCUGUCCACUUCAUGUGUCGAUAAUUUUACAAGUUACAAAUCACGCUCUUUUUGCUUACAUAAACACGAUAUCAACACCAUACCACUCCUGGUUACUAUGACUACACGAUAUCAACACUAUACCACUCCUGGUUACUAUGACUACACGAUAUCAACACCAUACCACUCCUGGUUACUAUGACUACACGAUAUCAACACGAUAUCAACACCAUACCACUCCUGGUUACUAUGACUACACGAUAUCAACACCAUACCACUUUUCCCAUCCUCGUGAGAAAAAAAAAAACGGUUUCCAAAGGAACAUCUUAAUUUUAAAAAAACGUCCCAACAAGCAACGAUUCCUCA
rnacentral:lncRNA from 13 species